ensembl:lncRNA novel transcript
GUCUGUUCAUUUCAGACUUUGUCUUUUGGUAUCAAGUUGGUUAAUAUAUGAUUUUGAAAAUGUAAAUAUGCAUACCUGCAACAAAGUGCAUCAGAGUUGAAAGAAGAAAGAAGCAGGUUGUGUUUGCCUAAAAGCUGCAAAACCAGCUUUUAGUCUACACUCUGCAUGUGUGGCUUAGGGGUCAGCCAGAGCUGAGAGCAGACAGAAGUUGGAAAUCCUCCCUCGGACUCUUUCCCUUCCUGCAUUCCCUUUCUCUUCCCAGCAGCCAUGGUGGCCCUGGAUUCAGCUUUCCCUUCCACAGGCCAGAGAGAUUGUGAUUUUUUUUCCACCAAUGCCCUGCCACCCUGCAGGCUGCUCUCACUACACUUGGGUGUAAGUGAAAAGCUGUCCCUAUAACUUCCCUCCUCUGAGCACGGACCACCCCACUCCUGGGUCUGCCUGCUCUUCUCACUCUCAUAUGUCUUCAAGAAGCUGCUUGUAUUACGUCCAAAGCUUACAAUUGGUAUGUCCAGGAGGCUCAGUCUGGUAGGAUCUUACUCUGUCCUUACCAGCAGCAGAAGUAAUCUGUCUUUGCGGAUCAAAGAUGGAUUUGAGCUCUGGAUCUGAACCAACGAACACACAAUGACCUAUGAAUUUUUUGGACAGGAACAUUGAAGAUGGCAUGAGCUAUCCAGUGGAGACACACAUCCAUAUGCAUGUGCAUUUUUAUAUAUUUUUAUGAAAUGCAUGACAUGUCUUAAAAAGCCAUUUAUGUAGUGUGUAGGUGUGAGUCUAUGAAAGAAUUGGAAAUGAAUGUAUGCCUCCUUUCACUUUGUUGUUUAGUAUUCCUUAGGAAGAAGCAAUAUUGAAUAAAAUUUUAACUAAUUAUCCAA